rnacentral:tRNA from 1 species
GGGCAGGUAGUAUAUUUAUUAUGCUGCUUUUCCAAAGCAGAGAUCUAGCGUUAGUUUGCCCA